AUCAGGCAUUAAUAUUGUGAAGGCUUUUCGCUCCAUAUUGAUUAAUCCCACAUAAUAUUUAUUCUACCAUCAUGAAAGUACACACUUAUAAUAUAUUUGCCAUAGUUUUACUUGUUAGCUUUUUGGACCAUGUCAUGACCCAAUUUCCGGGCAAUCUCCAUGAAAACGGUGUACUAUGUGAAGAGGACGCUGAUUGCAAUUUAAUCUGCAGAUUAGAAUGUGGAAACACAGUUGAGUAUGCCUGCCAUGAUAUAUGCUGGUGUGCUCCAACCGAGUAGGCGAACAUUCAGCUGGGCUUGACAGACGCAUAUUUGGUUAUCAUGAAUUUUGUGCUAUUAUACUUAUUUAUUAAAAUCACUACUCUCACUAUUACGUUACAGAUGGUCAAUAUUAUAAUAAAUAUUAUUGUUUCAUGUUAA